AACGAACGCUGGCGGCAGGCUUAACACAUGCAAGUCGAGCGAGACCUUCGGGUCUAGCGGCGGACGGGUGAGUAACGCGUGGGAACGUGCCCUUCUCUACGGAAUAGCCCCGGGAAACUGGGAGUAAUACCGUAUACGCCCUUUGGGGGAAAGAUUUAUCGGAGAAGGAUCGGCCCGCGUUGGAUUAGGUAGUUGGUGGGGUAAUGGCCCACCAAGCCGACGAUCCAUAGCUGGUUUGAGAGGAUGAUCAGCCACACUGGGACUGAGACACGGCCCAGACUCCUACGGGAGGCAGCAGUGGGGAAUCUUAGACAAUGGGGGCAACCCUGAUCUAGCCAUGCCGCGUGAGUGAUGAAGGCCCUAGGGUUGUAAAGCUCUUUCAGCUGGGAAGAUAAUGACGGUACCAGCAGAAGAAGCCCCGGCUAACUCCGUG
rnacentral:rRNA from 1 species